rnacentral:lncRNA from 1 species
AUGUACUGGAAGACGGUGACGCCCUCGGCGCGGCAGUCGUCCCAGAACUGGCUGGCUGAGAACUUCUCCUUCAGCACGCACGUGGCCCCUGCGGGAUGGAGGGGGGGGGGAUCAGCCCCGAGACACCCCCGGAACCCCCCCGGGGCCCCGUCCUGGCUCACCGAUGCCCAGGCAGCCGACGAUGCCCAGCAGGGACCCGGCCAUGUGGUAGAGGGGCAGCGCCAGGUACACGACGUCCCGGCUGGAGGCUCCCACCAGCUCGUAGAAGCCCAGGCACAUGAUGGACUUGAGGUGGGACACGCGGGCGGCUUUGGGGAGGCCUGGAAGGGCAAAACACAGUUGAGCCCCCCCAGGCUCAAACAGAACCCCCCGAGCCCCGGUGCCGGCCCCACCGGUGGUGCCCGAGGUGAAGAUGUAGAGGCAGGUGUCGUUCAUGUCCUCGGGCUCCCACACGUCCUCGGGCUCCAGCUCCUCGGAGGCCGCGUCCAGCAGCUCCUGCAGCGCCACGACGCCGGGCGGGUACGGCCCCGCUCCCAGCACCCACACGGCCACGCCGUCCUCCCGCAGGCUGGGCAGGAGCGGCUCCACCGACCCGAACAGGUCUGGGGGGACGGCACCGUGUGGGGGGACCACCCCGCCGGCCCCGGUGCCACUUGUGCCACCCAACCUUUGUCCCCCCCGUCCCCGGUCCUGCCCCGUUAUUCUCCUGGUCCUGCUCCGGCUCCCCGUCCUCUCAUCCCCCCGGUCCCGUUAUACCCUGGGAUCUCCCCACUCCGCGCCCCAUCACUCCCCGGUCCCCGCCGUUCCCCGGUGCCUUUCCCCGGGAAUUCCUCGGUCCCCUCCCGCUCCCCUCGGUGUCCCCCCGUUAUCCCCCGGACCCCGAACGCUCCCCGCUUCCUCUCGGCCCUUUCCCCCCACGCUCCCCGGUGUCCCCCCGGUGUCCCCCCGGUGUCCCCGGGUCUCACCGUCCGCCACCAGCAGCGCCCGCGCCCCGCAGCCGCGCAGGCAGUGCCGGAGCCCCGCGGGGCGCAGCGCCGUGCCCAGGAAGGCCGGGCGGGCCCCGAGCGCCGCCAGCCCGAACCAGCCCCACACGAAGCGGGGCUCGUUGCCCACCAGCAGCCCCACGGUGUCCCCGGGCCGCGGCGGGGCCCGCAGCGCCCGCAGCGCGUUCGCCACCCGCGCCAC